rnacentral:lncRNA from 1 species
CACAGGUGCGCCCCGCUCGCUCCGCCUGUUCGUGGGACGUCAGAUUCUCGACAGAAAACUGCGGAAGCAAUGCGUGGAAAAACUAUUUUAGGCUAUCAGCGUUUCAUUCCACCUGUUGCGAUUUCUUUAUGACGAUUCCUCUUCCUGGUAAUCGAAGUAAAGCAACUGAGGAAAUUGAAGGAAGCAUGUGUAUCUGCCUCUGAAACACAAUGGGAACUCCCUGCCUCCUGUGGGACACCAGAGAACAAACUGCUCACUGCCAAAAGUGUAGCUACAAAAACGACAACAACAGAAUUGAGGUCAAUAGGGAUAAAGGCAUGGUAGCCCUGCUGAUCCUGCUAUAGCUUGAUAGAACAAGUAGAUGAACAGUAGUAGACUCUCAGGUGGAAUUGGAUUUGCGUCGCUGUGUGUAAUGGGGGAGUGUAUGUUGAACCGUUAUGGUGAAGAUGGUUUUCAGAGUUGUGAAGGCUUUGACGAUUGGUCCACGUUCAGCUCUGCGGACUGGACAGAGCCUCAGCAAGAUGGCAGUGGGUUUUCAGACUGGGGUGCAUUCCAGGACAAUACCAGCAAAGAGGAAUCAACAACACUACCUGUGGCAGAAGCAUGGACUUCCAAGUUUCCUGAAAACACUGAAAAUGGUGAAAAGGGGAAUCCCUGGUUCAUUUUUAAUGACUGCUUUCAGGUUGAGGGGGCAGAGAAAGACCCUGUCGUGAUGGAAAUCCUUACAUUGUGUGUGCUACAGCAGAGCACAUUAGACAAGCCCUCUCAGUAUGCAGCAAUAUCAAGCAAAGCUGCAAAUUUCUGGUGUCGUCUACAGUCUGGGUCCAAAAUUCUCAGACUAUCAGGUCCCAAACCCAAACUACACUCCCAUGAAGGACUGCUCAAAGCCCUCCAGCUCGGACAGCCUGACGCAAGCGCUGACUCACAGGUGAGUACAGGCUGAGUGUUACACUCUUCAAAUCUGGCACAUUGGCACCCCCUUUGUGCUACAGACUUUGUUACCUCAUGUGGCUUGUUGAGGUGAGAGGUGUGCUAAUACAUAUUCUGACUUUUGUGGUGCUACUAAUAUAAAUAAACUUUUUUUUUUUAGACCACUACUCUUCUUAAUCUUGAACUAGAAGAUCCAGAAGACCCUCCUGGAGCACUUAUUCAAACCAAGGUUGGUGUGUGUGUGUGUAUAUAUAUAUAUAUAUAUAUAUAUAUAUAUAUAUAUAU